AAUCUUGCGCAAUGGGCGAAAGCCUGACGCAGCCAUGCCGCGUGAAUGAUGAAGGUCNNNGGAUUNUCAAAUUCUUUCACCGGNGACNAUAAUGACGGUAACCGUAGAAGAAGCCCCGGCUAACUUCGUGCCAGCAGCCGCGGUAAUACGAAGGGGGCUAGCGUUGCUCGGAAUUACUGGGCGUAAAGGGCGCGUAGGCGGACAUUUAAGUCAGGGGUGAAAUCCCAGAGCUCAACUCUGGAACUGCCUUUGAUACUGGGUGUCUUGAGUGUGAGAGAGGUAUGUGGAACUCCGAGUGUAGAGGUGAAAUUCGUAGAUAUUCGGAAGAACACCAGUGGCGAAGGCGACAUACUGGCUCAUUACUGACGCUGAGGCGCGAAAGCGUGGGGAGCAAACAG
rnacentral:rRNA from 1 species